rnacentral:rRNA from 1 species
CGAUUGAAUGGUUAAGUGAGGCUUUCGGACUGGCUCAGGGAGGGUGGCAACACCCACCCAGAGCCGGAAAGUUGUCCAAACUUGAUCAUUUAGAGGAAGUAAAAGUCGUAACAAGGUUUCCGUAGGUGAACCUGCGGAAGGAUCAUUACCUGAUAGAAGCCCUCACGGGCCCUAUCCCACCCGUGUUUAUAUACCUUUGUUGCUUUGGUGGGCCGUGGCUUCCACUGUGGGCUAUGCUCGCAAGUGCCCGCCAGAGGACUAAACUCUGAAAUUUAGUGAUGUCUGAGAACUAUUAAAUAGUAAAAACUUUCAACAACGGAUCUCUUGGUUCUGGCAUCGAUGAAGAACGCAGCGAAAUGCGAUAAGUAAUGUGAAUUGCAGAAUUCAGUGAAUCAUCGAAUCUUUGAACGCACAUUGCGCCCUGUGGUAUUCCGCGGGGCAUGCCUGUUCGAGCGUCAUUUUACCAAUCAAGCUCUGCUUGGCAUUGGAGCCCGUACGAGUACGGCUCUCAAAGAUAAUAGCAGUCUAAACAAGACCCUAAGCAUAGUAAACUUUCUUGCUUCUGGGCGCUGUAGUGACUUGCUCACACCUAUCUUAAGGUUGACCUCGGAUCAGGUAGGGAUACCCGCUGAACUUAAGCAUAUCAAUAAGCGGAGGAAAAGAAACCAACCGGGAUUGCCUUAGUAACGGCGAGUGAAGCGGCAAGAGCUCAAAUUUGAAAGCUGCCAACAGGCCGCGUUGUAAUUUGUAGAAGAUGCUUUGGGUGCCGGCCUUGUCUAAGUUCCUUGGAACAGGACGUCAUAGAGGGUGAGAAUCCCGUACGUGAUUAGGCCUAACCCCGUGUAAAGCUCUUUCGACGAGUCGAGUUGUUUGGGAAUGCAGCUCAAAAUGGGUGGUAAAUUUCAUCUAAAGCUAAAUAUUGGCCAGAGACCGAUAGCGCACAAGUAGAGUGAUCGAAAGAUGAAAAGCACUUUGGAAAGAGAGUUAAACAGUACGUGAAAUUGUUGAAAGGGAAGCGUUUAUAACCAGACUUGCGGGCUAUCGAUCAUCCGAGGUUCUCCCCGGUGCACUCGAUUGUUCUCAGGCCAGCAUCGGUUCUAGUGGUGGGAUAAAGGCCGUGGGAAUGUGGCUCUUCGGAGUGUUAUAGCCCACGGUGCAAUGCCGCCUACCGGGACCGAGGACCGCGCUUCGGCUAGGAUGCUGGCGUAAUGGUUGUAAACGACCCGUCUUGAAACACGGACCAAGGAGUCUAACAUCUAUGCGAGUGUUUGGGUGUCAAACCCAUACGCGUAAUGAAAGUGAACGGAGGUGAGAGUCCUUUAGGGUGCAUCAUCGACCGAUCCUGAUGUCUUCGGAUGGAUUUGAGUAAGAGCAUAGCUGUUGGGACCCGAAAGAUGGUGAACUAUGCGUGAAUAGGGUGAAGCCAGAGGAAACUCUGGUGGAGGCUCGCAGCGGUUCUGACGUGCAAAUCGAUCGUCAAAUUUGCGUAUAGGGGCGAAAGACUAAUCGAACCAUUAAAGGGCAAUCAAGUAUUGUUACAGUUGCUAGGUGGUUGAGAGAUGAUCGAAAUUUCCAUCUAGUCCUACCAAGGGCAACACUCUCAAACUGUUACGGGGACGUCCUGUUGAAGCUAAACUACCGUACUACCUCCGAAAGGAGUUGGUACACCGGGUUAAUGACCUAGGGUAUGGUAAUAACGUUUAGAUAGGGAUAAUCCGCAGCCAAAUCCUAAGGGCUAUGCCUAUGGAUGCAGUUCACAGACUAAAUGUGAGUGGAUCUCACUAUGAGAAUAGUGAGGUUUAAGUUAUAGUCGGACCACUGGGAGACCGGUUCAAUAAGUGAAAUAGUGUAAAGAUGGUACCAUACUUGUAUGGGCUUUAUACCUAGUAUCUUAUUGAAGAUAAAACCCUCUAAUAUCGGGUCUUAUCUGGAGAAGCAAGCAGGUUHU